rnacentral:rRNA from 1 species
GAUGAACGCUAGCGGGAGGCCUAACACAUGCAAGCCGAGCGGUAUUGUUUCUUCGGAAAUGAGAGAGCGGCGUACGGGUGCGUAACACGUGUGCAACCUGCCUUUAUCUGGGGGAUAGCCUUUCGAAAGGAAGAUUAAUACUCCAUAAUAUAUUGAACGGCAUCGUUUAAUAUUGAAAGCUCCGGCGGAUAGAGAUGCGCACGCGCAAGAUUAGCUAGUUGGUGAGGUAACGGCUCACCAAGGCGAUGAUCUUUAGGGGGCCUGAGAGGGUGAUCCCCCAGACUGGUACUGAGGCCCAGACCAGACUGCUACGGGAGGCAGCAGUGAGGAAUAUUAGUCAAUGGGUGCAAGCCUGAACCAGCCGUCCCGCGUGAAGGACGACUGCCCUAUGGGUUGUAAACUUCUUUUGUAUAGGGAUAAACCUACCCUCGUGAGGGUAGCUGAAGGUACUAUACGAAUAAGCACCGGCUAACUCCGUG